UAGGGAAUCUUCCACAAUGGACGCAAGUCUGAUGGAGCAACGCCGCGUGAGUGAAGAAGGUUUUCGGGCCGUAAAGCUCUGUUGUUGGUGAAGAAGGAUAGAGGUAGUAACUGGCCUUUAUUUGACGGUAAUCAACCAGAAAGUCACGGCUAACUACGUGCCAGCAGCCGCGGUAAUACGUAGGUGGCAAGCGUUGUCCGGAUUUAUUGGGCGUAAAGCGAGCGCAGGCGGAAGAAUAAGUCUGAUGUGAAAGCCCUCGGCUUAACCGAGGAAUUGCAUCGGAAACUGUU
rnacentral:rRNA from 1 species